UACGGGGGGGGCAAGCGUUGUUCGGAAUUACUGGGCGUAAAGGGUUUGUAGGUGGCUUGUUAAGUCAGACGUGAAAUCCCUCAGCUUAACUGGGGAACUGCGUCUGAUACUGGCGAGCUUGAGUGCAGGAGAGGAACGCGGAAUUCCAGGUGUAGCGGUGAAAUGCGCAGAUAUCAGGAAGAACACCCGUGGCGAAGGCGGUUCUCUGGGACGGUACUGACGCUGAGACGCGAAAGCGUGGGGAGCGAACAGG
rnacentral:rRNA from 1 species